CCCCUAGAUGUUCUGGGCCGCACGCGCGCUACACUGAACAGUUCAACAAGUCUUAACCUUGGCCGAUAGGUCUGGGUAAUCUUUGAACGCUGUUCGUGACUGGGAUGGACCUUUGCAAUUAUGGGUCUUCAACGAGGAAUUCCUAGUAAACGCAAGUCAUCAGCUUGCAUUGAUUACGUCCCUGCCCUUUGUACACACCGCCCGUCGCACCUACCGAUUGAAUGGUCCGGUGAAAUCUCGGGACGGCGGCUUGGUCGCUUGCGUCCGACUGCUGAAACUUGAUUAAACCAUAUCAUUUAGAGGAAGGUGAANUCGUAACA
rnacentral:rRNA from 1 species